CUCCUCUCAGGAUCGUAUCUGGAGAGUUUUCAGCAGUCUACCAGUCUUGGCAAUGGGAGGGAGAGUCAAGCAGAGGUAUUCCCAUUCCAUUCCUCGUUUAGGCAGUGGCUAGCGACUAGAAGGCAAUCUGCUACAAAU